rnacentral:rRNA from 1 species
GCAACGCGAAGAACCUUACCAGGUCUUGACAUCGUAUGCAUAACCUAGAGAUAGGUGAAAUCCUUUCGGGGACAUAUAGACAGGUGGUGCAUGGUUGUCGUCAGCUCGUGUCGUGAGAUGUUGGGUUAAGUCCCGCAACGAGCGCAACCCUUACCUUUAGUUGCUACGCAAGAGCACUCUAGAGGGACUGCCGUUGACAAAACGGAGGAAGGUGGGGAUGACGUCAAAUCAUCAUGCCCCUUAUGACCUGGGCUACACACGUACUACAAUGGCAAUUAACAGAGGGAAGCAAAACAGUGAUGUGGAGCAAAUCCCGAAAAAUUGUCCCAGUUCAGAUUGCAGGCUGAAACUCGCCUGCAUGAAGUCGGAAUUGCUAGUAAUCGCAGAUCAGAAUGCUGCGGUGAAUACGUUCCCGGGCCUUGUACACACCGCCCGUCACACCAUGGGAGUCGGUAACACCCGAAGCCGAUAGUCUAACCGCAAGGAGGACGUCGUCGAAGGUGGGAUUGAUGACUGGGGUGAAGUCGUAACAAGGUAGCCGU